rnacentral:misc_RNA from 1 species
GAUGAAGAACGUAGCGAAAUGCGAUACUUGGUGUGAAUUGCAGAAUCCCGUGAACCAUCGAGUCUUUGAACGCAAGUUGCGCCCGAAGCCAUUAGGCCGAGGGCACGCCUGCCUGGGCGUCACACGUCGUUGCCCCCCCAUCUACUCCUUCGGGAUUGCGGGGGGCGGAUGAUGGCCUCCCGUGCGCCUCGUCGCGCGGUUGGCAUAAAUGCCAAGUCCUCGGCGACGCACGCCACGACAAUCGGUGGUUGCGAAACCUCGGUUGCCCGUCGUGUGCGGUCGUCGCGCAUCGAGGGCUCGAAAAAAUUGCCGGGCUCCGGCUCGGCUUUCAACGCGACCCCAGGUCAGGCGGGGUUGCCCGCUGAAUUUAAGCAUAUCAAUAAGCGGAGGA